UCGUGACCGAUGGCUCCGGAUCAUCCCCAAACAUCCCUAAAACAUCUUCGGUUCAUUGUUUAGACUUCCUAACCCAUUUAUUCCGGGCCGUCCGAUUACGAUCGGAGGGACCGAAUAGCCCCUAAGCUAAUCCACCUGCUAUAUAACCAGACCAAACCCUAAAAUCUUGGGAGAUAUCUCAUCCAUCUCGUCUCGUCGCCGCCAGCCAACUACCCACUCUUCUCCCACCUCGGGAUCCAUCACUCACCAACCAUCGCUCGCCACCUACAGCCUCCAGAUCCCCUCGCCCUCCUCUCUGCUCGAGGCCCUUGCCGACGACAGGAGCUUCACCCCCACCGGCCAGCCUCCUCCACGCCACCAGAUCAGAGCCCCGUGCUCCCCACCACCUCAUCCUCGCAAGCACUGCCACCAGGGCGCCACCUCACUGGCCUCUAUCGCUCCUCCCGUGCGCCUGCACCAGACCUCGGCCCCGCGCCCUCGUCUGCUCCGUUGAGCCUCUCCACUGCCGGCGACCACCAGCACCUCCCAGAACUGCCCCGUGCCCGUGCUACCACAUACCCCUCGUCCAGGAGCUCCACGAGAAGAGGAGCUCCUCUUUGUUGUCCCAGCAGCAGUCGUGCCCCGCGCCCCUUGCUUCCCGCCGGCGAGCAUCAUCAUGCCCCGGUAGCGUGCCCCUGCCUCUUUCUCCAUCUUCCUCCCUCCCCUGAUCUCUCUUCCUCUCACAUCUAUCUCAUUUCUUUUUACGGCAGAGCCUCCAUGGAAGCUCGAGCUCCGCCUGGAGCAACUUGAAGGGUGCCGUCGUCGAGCCCCUACAUCACCUGAGCGACCCCGUCGAUCGGAUCCACCAGGUCGCCGUCCUGAUCCGCCUUCGCUGCACAGGCCGCCGUCGCCUGAGCUCCUGCAAGCCGCACUGCCUCCUUCUGACGGGGGCAGGCACAGGGAGUCGCCCCUGUUCGUUGACCUCCACUUCCGCGUGGGCCUCUCCAGCCGCAGCACCUCAAGGCCCAGCUCGCCCCGGCCCAGUGGCCACGCUGGUGAGCGCCCGCCUGCAAACCCUCGCCCCUGGGCGCUGUUGAAUAUGUCGCGCCCACUGUUUCAGCCCGUAAAGUUUUUUCCCAGUUCUGAGAAUUUAGCUAUUUAUCCAGAGAUUUGCCGAUUUGCAAAAAAGUCCUCCAUGUUCAUGCAUGUAAAAACUCAACAACCGUGCAUCGGAAUUAAACAUGGCGUAUAUGUAAAAUGCUUUGAAUUUCAUCUAGUUUCAUAAUAUGCAACUUUCAUCCAUGAUAAAAAUGUUUAAAAUAAUGUUUACAUUUGUCUUGCAUAAAUAACAUGCUAAAAUGGUUUAUUUCAUAACUAAAUAACCGUAGCUCCGAAUUAAGUAAACUAUAUAUGUAAAUUGUCUAGAAAAAUGCAUAGAUUAACAUGGUUGCAUUACUUUGCAUGUCUAACAACAAUAAAAGUGUGUUUAGAUCAGAACAGUACCAAAUUCGAAAAUUGCAUAUGGGGAUCUCUAGGAAUUGUUGUUUGUUAUUUCCGGCCUCAGUUAAACUUGCCUAAAUAGUUAGUUUACUUAUGCUUCACCUCUUGCCAUGUUAACCAACAUUUAAUUUUGAUUAGUAGCAUAAACGGGAGCGAACUAAAUAUUUGAAUGUGGUGUUUCAUCAAUAAGCAACUCGUUGCAUAUUGAGCUCCACUUAAUUUGUAGUAUUGUUUGUUGCACUUUGCGAUGCCAUAAUUCAUUAAAUCGUACAUGCAUCAUACUUGGUUGCACAUCAUGCCAUGUUUAUGCUUGUUGGUUAACCAUGUUGUUUGCUUCUUUCCGGUCGUGCUUCUACUCGAUAGUUUCGGUUACGUUGCGAUUGUGACGAUUUAUUCGACUACGUUGGUUCGUCUACUUCAUGGAUUCGGUCUUCUUCCUAGCGGGAUUUCAGGCAAGAUGAUCAUUAUCAUGGAUACCACUACUAUCUUUGCUUUGCUAGUUGUCUCGAUGUUAUCGCUAUGUGACGCUACCUACCACUUGUUUAUCAAGCCUCCCAAUAUGCCAUGAUAAGCCUCUAACCAUUUCCACCAUCCCAACAAACUGUUGUUUGGCUAUGUUCCGCUUUGCUCAGCCCCUCUUAUAGCGUUGAUAGUUGCAGGUGCAGUUUUAGGUUGUUCCAUGUUGGGACAUGGAUAUCAUGGGAUGUCAUAGUAUCUCUUAUUUUAAUUAAUGCAUCUAUAUACUUGGUAAAGGGUAUAAGGCUCGGCCUUUUGCCUGGUGUUUUAUUCCACUCUUGCUGCCCUAGUUUCUGUCAUACCGAUGUUAUGUUCCUUGAUUUUGCGUUCCUAACACGAUCGGGGUUUAUGGGCCCCCCUUGACAGUUCGCUUUGAAUAAAAAUCUUCCAGCAAGGCCCAACAUUGGUUUUACAUUUGCGUAAUAACAACUAAAACUGGCAUAGGGACUUCCCGGGCACUGAGGAUAAUUAAUCAACAACCCGUGCCAAUGCUCCUCAUGAGUGUUGGUCCAAACUGGCAGUAGCCGGGGCCACCAACGGGUGUACUAUAUUUCUCUCUCAAGUAUAUUGCUAGUCCCUCUUAUGUCACAAAUUAAUCUUGCAACGGCCACCUUUGGGAGAUCACGGCGUACAAAUUAGUGACUAUAAUAUACCAUGAAUUAUUAGCAACAAAAAUCAAUUUGCUCUAUAAAUAUUUGACCGUAAAAUGCUAGGCCACCUUGGUGACAAACAAGCAUGCUCUCCAAUAAAUAUUUAUUCGGCAAGAAUAUGAUCAUCUAUGGAACGCAAUGCCAUAAUGCGAGCAAUGAUCAAAAUUAAAGAAUGGCAACAAGUCUUGUUCCGUAGGAUGAGAAAAAGAAUAGAUCGACAGAAUAACGGAUCAAAAUCUCGACUUUAAUGUGAAUCAGAAGUGUUGCAACAACAAGGCUCUGAUACCAAAUGUAAGCGAAAAUUUCUUUAAAUGCGGAAGAUUAGCAAUACAAAUGAUUCAACAAAACAUGCAUGAGAUUUUUCCGUUCAUGAUCCGAGUGUACCUUGCUCCAUCACGAGACCUUUCGAAGUCGAUUCCACCGUUGUCGAACGUUCUUCUUUUCUCUACUUCUUUACUUCACAAGUUCCUCAGAUGGAUGAAGAACCAAACGUUUCAGCAUGUGUGUAUAUGCAUUCUUUACUUGUGUCGUCUAAAACGGCAGCGCUUCCGCGAGCACUAGAUGCAGAGAGCGUCACCAUAAUGAAGUACUGCGAUAAGGGCAGAGGCAACGUCCAUUUAUAUGAUUCGUACGGAUGCGUCGUCGCUUCGAACGGAUGCGUCGUUUGCUGAAGCCGUUUCCGUCCCAACUGUACACAUGCAAACGCAUGUUGUGAGACGCGUCUUCAACCAGUCGCAACCCAACGAAAGGACGUGGCCCCAUUCGCACAUGCAUGCUAAUUAGCCUUGUGCUAAUUACGCCACUGCCUCUGAUCCAUGUACCUGCACCUGAUUGGCUAAUUCAUGCACUCACGGAUAUAUUAAUCCAUGUACUUGCACCGGUACUUAGCCAUCACCAGGCACUUGACUGAAUAUAACAAAGCUAGCUAGCUUCAUAUACAUGUAUCCAUCUAGCUUUGACAUACACAUACACACACACCUAUACGUGUGUGAAACUUAUAGAGAGAGAUAAGAGGGAAUUAAAACCCAGACUUUAAUCUAUUAUUUCUAGCAACGAUCAUACUAGAACUCUUAAUUAAAAUCUCACUAUAAUUUACAUUGGCCACAUAAAAUAUUCUUACAUUUCCACCAUCCCAACAAACUGUUGUUUGGCUAUGUUACCGCUUUGCUCAGCCCCUCUUAUAGCGUUGAUAGUUGCAGGUGCAGUUUCAGGUUGUUCCAUGUUGGGACAUGGAUAUCAUGGGAUGUCAUAGUAUCUCUUAUUUUAAUUAAUGCAUCUAUAUACUUGGUAAAGGGUAUAAGGCUCGGCCUUUUGCCUGCUGUUUUAUUCCACUCUUGUCGCCCUAGUUUCUGUCAUACCGGUGUUAUGUUCCUUGAUUUUACGUUCCUAACACGAUCGGGGUUUAUGGGCCCCCCUUGACAGUUUGCUUUGAAUAAAACUCUUUCAGCAAGGCCCAACAUUGGUUUUACCAUUUGCGUAAUAACAACUAAAACUGGCAUAGGGACUUCCCGGGCACCGAGGAUAAUAAAUCAACAACCCGUGCCAAUGCUCCUCAUGAGUGUUGGUCCAAACUGGCAGUAGCCGAGGCCACCAACGGGUGUGCCAGCCAGAAAAUUAGCCAAUCCGACCGUGGCCUGAGACGAGAUACGCGCGGCUACUAUCAGGGUGUCAGCACGUCAGGAGGUCUUGCUGGUUUUGUUUUACCAUUGUCGAAAUUUCUUGUGAACCAGGAUUCCGAGCUUGAUUGGGUUGUUCCGGAAUGGAGGAUUUUCCUCCGCAGAUCAUGAGAGUUUGUGAUGGACUAAGUUGGGACACCCCUACAGGGUUUAAUCUUUUCGAGAGUCGUGCCCACGGUUAUGUGGCAGAUAGGAAUUGAUAAUAUUCGUUUAUAGAGAACUUGACACUAGAUCCAAAUUAAAAUACACCAACUGCGUGUGUAACUGUGACCGUCUCUUUCCAAGGGAGUUCGGGAAGAGAACAUGGUGGGGUUAUGAUUGACUCGUCAGUAGUUUAGGAUCACUUAUUGAUCAUUAAUAGUUGUGACCGUUAUGCGUAGAAACUCUUCUUACUCUUGUACUCGUAAGUUAGCCACCAUAUAAUGCUUAUUGCUUGCUGCAACCUCACCACUUAUCCAUUCCAUACCCAUUAAGGUUUGCUAGACUUGAUACCCAUGGUAAUGGGAUUGUUGAGUCCUCGUGGCUCACAGAUUACUACAACAACAGUUGCAGGUACAGGAAAUGCGAUGUUAUGACGUGAGAGCGAUGCUUGCUUGAUUUGGAGUUCUUGUGCUUCUUCUUCUUCGAUCAAGGGAUAGGUACUGGGUCGGGAGCCUGGGAUUAGCAGGGUGGAUGCCGUUCUUCUUUUUCGUUUAAUUUCAUCCGUAGUCGGAUCCUGCUCUUCUGUAUGAUGAUUGCUAUUUUUUGAUGUACUAUUGUAUUCAUGUUGUAGCUUGUGGUGAGUGUAAGCCUUUAUCUUGUAUUCUCAUCUAUUCAGUACAUGGUAUGUUGUAAUGAUAUCCACCUUGCUAUGAGCUCGAAAUGCGGUUGUGCCCCAAUCAUGAGUGCAUCAUGUGAUUGCGAUAGAAUCGCAUCUUGGGCGCUGCACCUAGCACACCCAGACCAAUUGCUUAGC
rnacentral:lncRNA from 1 species